rnacentral:lncRNA from 1 species
CUUUUGAGUUAGUUGUUGUUCUUUACUCGGGAGUCUUUUGAUUUCAAUUAGGGAAUGGUGCUCUCUAUCAAAAGGUUACCGUUUACUUCUUCUUUGGUGUGUAGCUAUUUCUGCGAUUCUCAUCGAUUAAGGUUUAUUUGUUGGGUUUUUGGUUAGUAUUUGUUAUUAAGUUGAGAAUCGAUUAAAGAUGUUGUUGUAGGUUCCGUGGUGGAGAAUGGCGGCGCUGAAAUCAUCAAGUGGAAAGGAGAAACUUUCGAAAAAACUUGAGAUUGCAGAAGAUGGUAAAGAGGAGAACGAUGAAGAAGAAGGAAGCAAAGGUGAAUAAUUGAUUUUCUCUUUAGUGAUUAUUGAUCACGUGGUGGUUUUGUGUUUGUGUCUUUAAUUACUGCACACAUUUGGUAAAAAUGGAUCUUUUGUUUUUGAUCUUUUAAGCUUAGGUAGGCGUCAACGAAGAAGAAGAACAACAUUAAAAGCAAUUAAGAGAUUUUUGUUUAUUGGCAAAAAAAAAAAAGAGAUUUUUGUUUUUGACUAUUUGUUUCUUGUAACAACAUUAAAAGCAAUUGAGAGUUUUCUUAGAACCGUGACGCCGUCGCUCAAUCUCAAACGACACAAAGGCCAAGCUGAUCAGUACUCUCCUUCGUCCCUGGAUAAUUGCUUCUCGGUUUAGUGUGUCUCUCCUUCUUGAUUUAGUUACGCAAUAUACUUUGGUGGAUUAAGGGCUAGAUAAUAGUAAGAAGACCCUUUUCUUUUAUCUUUUCCUAAGAUUUAGUUUGUAUGGUGUUGAAAUAUAAUAAAGAAAGAAAAAGAGAAGGUAGG